AAGACUAUACUUUCAGGGAUCAUUUCUAUAGUAUAUUACUAGAGAAGUUUCUCUGAAUGUGUAGAGUACCCGAAACCACGAGGAGGAGGUGCAGUGUUCUCUUCUGAGCGUGAAAGCGGCGUUUGGCGUUGUAGUUUGCAACUGCUAAUUGCCAUUGAUGAUCGUUCUUCUCCUCUUUUGGGGGAGUUAGAGGGAGAGAACGCAGUCUGAGUGGU